UUGAGAUUGUCAGAUUUUGAUUAUAAGUCAAAAUCAGAAACUUCUCAGAGAGAAAAGAAUAAAAUGCCUCAUUGAAAAUCAGCGUCCUGAUGCUCCUAGAGGCCGAGUUGCACUGAACCCACAAUCCGAAUACAAGAAAGAAGGAUCAAUAGGACCUCAAGAGUGAUCUUGGAUGAGAUGGGAACACUUGUGGGCAGAAUCUGAUUGGAUGUCGAGGGGAAGAAAUUGGGCCUAAAACAGAGAGAAAAGUGAGACCUGGAGGUACCUGCACGAGCUUCAUCAGCCCAAACAAGACUUGGUCAUAAAGAUAUCAGGAAGCUGUUCAACAACUACACAGAAAGAAGCAUCUCUGGGCACAUUAAAUUUUAGAUUUACACCAAAAAACCAGACUGUGAUAGAGCACUCUAAUUUAUUUCUCUCUUUUCUCCAUGAGACAGGAACUAUGAAGAGUUUACCCUAGUUAUUCUUGCUGGGGACACAGGGAAAUCCACCCAUGGGAAAGGGGAGAAACAACUAACUUGAAGUUUGAAGGACAUGUACUCAUGCCAAUCUUGAGGAAAUUUGUAGCCAAUAACUAAUAAUCAUCGGCUAACUGGGAAUUGUUACUUCUAGUAUUUUUUUUUCCUUCCUUAAAGGACUGCUUUCUUACGUUUUAUACGUAUUAUAAAUUUCAGGAACAGUGUUCAUAUUGCCUCCAUUUCAAGGACGUGGGAGAUAAAAGAUGCCUGGGUCAAUCAAGGCUUCCCAAAUCCCCACAGUUUUGUGUUUGGAGUCAGUCACUCAACUGCCGGAAGCACAAAAACGUAUUGUAGUCAACUUCCUGGGCUGCUACUUUACCAAUAAAGCUACAGUUCUUAUAAAUUAUAA